AUUACAAGGACUAGCUCAGCUCCUGGCUCUGGUGCUUUGGUCUGCUAGAAAACUCAGACAUCAAUAAGGCAGUUAAGUUUGUAUAUUGAAUCAUGCAAAGUAUGGAUUAUGCAAAACAGCCCACCUCUAAUUUCGAGUGAAAGGAGAGACAGGUCAACACUUUACAGGACUUUACAGGACAGAACUCUAAGCACUGCAAGAGAUCCUGACACCAGUGAAUGAGUCCAUGCAGCAGAUCAUAAACACAUCACCAAGUCAUGAUAUUGGAACAUCACUUCCUGCCGAUACCUAAAUAUUAAUGGCAGAAACAUGUGCUGAACUGCUUCUUACAGCUCAGAAGAGAUGUGCGGUGGUUAAUCCUACCAUUUUCAACUAGGCUGAACUCAGCUUAUAACAAAACCAUCGGUAAAAAUGUAACCACUUCACAACUGUGUAUGUGUGCAUGUGUAGUAUGUGGAAGGAAUUUGCAAAAGAAUUGGCCAUCUUUCCAUGAAGUUCCAGCAGGAUCCACAAUCAGAAUGAGGACUCAGUUCAGUUCAUUUGCGAGUUUCAUAUAGGAAGAAGUGUGUAGUUCUUAGUGAUUUAUUCUGUUGGAACUAUAGAUUCUGGUGCCCUUAUGGUUUCUUCUUCAGACAUCAAGCCCCACCAUUUUGAUUCUGAACUGGCCCAAUCUAAACACUAGAUUGGGAGCCAGAGAGGCCACAGUAGUUGUUAAGUUUAGUCAGUCAGCCAUACACAUCUUCUGGGCUGGAACCAGCUUCCACCUGGCCAGUUUGGAGGAGUGUCUGCACUUCUCUCAGUUCACAGACUAACCUGGAUUAGCAAGCCUUUGCCUUCCUGAGAUCAUGGCAUUUGGAAUGGUUGAAUUACCUAGGGAGGUCUCUCUACUGAUGCUUUGCCAUAACAAAAACUCUGUUAUGUUCUGCUCACAAAUGCAUAAAAUAGUGCUUAUUGAACUUGAGUGUGUCAUAUAUGUGAACCCCAAAUUAUGCUGAUGUUGAUGAUCUUAAUAAGACAGCAUUUUAUGCUCUGAAAGGGCUUGUGCAUGAUGCAUUCUGUGGUCACUUGGAGGUAGGAGUUCUGUGAUGCAGUGUGGUCUCCCAUCAGCAGCAGGCAUGUUGAGCAAGGGAAGGGAAUGGUUAGGAGGCACUCCAUAACCUGACAUCUUCUUAAAGAGUUUAUAUUAAGGUGAGUUAUCACACAUAGCCAACUCUAAUCCCUUCUAAACGAAGGUUCUGUUUAUAGAAUAUCCAGGUCAGGAUUAUAAAUCUCUGAACAAAUCACAGGUAUAAUUAAAAGGAAUAAUGCCAAUUUUAUUUUCCAGUCGAUCUCUGUACUCCUUGGACUUCUCACAGAUAAAUACAGAUAGUAUCUCUGUGAACUAAUAGUAACUUGUUCGUUAUAGCACCUUUGAUUUUACCACUAGAUUGAAAUACAUACUAGUAUUAAACAUUGUAUAUAGUAUAACAAAGUGGUUAAUUCUUUCAGUUUUGCACUGCUGUGUUCAAUGGAGCUUUAGAAGUAUUUCCAAAGAAAUUUCCAACCUUCAUUUACUCUUUGUAGAUAAAUUUGUUUUGCCUUUUUCAUGCCAUUUUUGUGGUCAGUUUCGAGCAGUCAUCUUCAGUUCACCAAUGAGAAUUUCACAGGAACGGAGGGGUUUCUCAACGUGUCAUGGAAUUUUUGAAAAACAGAAUCUAUUUAAUCUUUGUCAUAUUACUUUGCAACAAAAACCUGAUUCUGAGAGAUAAGAAAAGACGACAGGACAGAGGGGAGCACCACAUGACCUAAUCUUACAUUUAAAGAGGUAGCACAUUCAUUUUAAAUUGAAUAUUUGUUAACGACUCCUUGUAAGGUGUUCAGAAAAUAACAAAGAUAACUUUACAAAGCAGAGCUUUACUGAGAGGGAAAAAAAUGGAAAAAGAUAUUAUGUCUUAGUAGGGUUAACAGGAACAUAUAUAUGUUCUAUCAGUAAAGCCAAUUACUGUAGUCAGUACAGUCAGUGGUACUUAACUAGUAGAUAUCUGGCAUAGUUAAAGGUAGCUUGUAACCCACUUACACAGUAAAGAGUAAGACUAGUACAGAAAUGUUCAAUUCUUUCAAUUAAAGCAUUUUAUCAAAUGCAGUAAACCAGUAUAUAACUUUGCUUUGAGAAAAAAGCCAAGAUGGAAAAAGGAUAAUUAUACUGUUCAGGUAAAUAACAUUUUCCUGACAGGGGUCCAAGUUAU
rnacentral:lncRNA from 7 species